rnacentral:rRNA from 1 species
CCUACGGGGGGCAGCAGUGAGGAAUAUUGGUCAAUGGCCGAGCGGCUGAACCAGCCAAGUCGCGUGAGGGAAGACGGCCCUACGGGUUGUAAACCUCUUUUGUCGGGGAGCAAAGCGCGUCACGUGUGACUCAUUGAGAGUACCCGAAGAAAAAGCCUCGGCGAACUCCGUGCCAGCAGCCGCGGUAAUACGGAGGAUGCGAGCGUUAUCCGGAUUUAUUGGGUUUAAGGGGUGCGCAGGCGGAGGUGCAAGUCAGCGGUCAAAUUGCGGGGCUCAACCCCGUACUGCCGUUGAAACUGCAGCCCUUGAGUGCGCGAGAAGUAUGCGGAAUGCGUGGUGUAGCGGUGAAAUGCAGAGAUAUCACGCAGAACUCCGAUUGCGAAGGCAGCAUACCGGCGCGCAACUGACGCUCAUGCACGAAAGCGUGGGUAUCGAACAGGAUUAGAUACCCUGGUAGUC